rnacentral:rRNA from 1 species
GACGAACGCUGGCGGCGUGCUUAACACAUGCAAGUCGAACGGAAAGGCCCUGCUUGCAGGGUGCUCGAGUGGCGAACGGGUGAGUAACACGUGGGUGAUCUGCCCCUUACUUUGGGAUAAGCCUGGGAAACUGGGUCUAAUACUGGCUAGGACCAUGCUGUAGGCGGUGUGGUGGAAAGAUUAGUUUCGGUAAGGGAUGGGCUCGCGGCCUAUCAGCUUGUUGGUGGGGUAAUGGCCUACCAAGGCGUCGACGGGUAGCCGGCCUGAGAGGGUGGACGGACACAUUGGGACUGAGAGACAGCCAAGACUCCUACGGGAGGCAGCAGUGGGGAAUAUUGCACAAUGGGAGCAAGCCUGAUGCAGCGACGCCGCGUGGGGGAUGACGGCCUUCGGGUUGUAAGCUCCUUGCAGCCAUGACGAAGCCCUUGUGGUGACGGUAGUGGUAGAAGAAGCACCGGCUAACUACGUG